AUGAUGAGUCAACUCAUACAAUUAUUCGGUUAGAACCUGAAUGUUAUGUGAAGAUUAUCUAGGGCGGACUGAUGUU